CAGCCGCCGCGGUAAUACGAAGGGUGCAAGCGUUAAUCGGAAUUACUGGGCGUAAAGCGUGCGCAGGCGGUUUGUUAAGACAGAUGUGAAAUCCCCGGGCUCAACCUGGGAACUGCAUUUGAAACUGUCAGGCUGGAGUCUUGUAGAGGGGGGUGGAAUUCCAGGUGUAGCGGUGAAAUGCGUAGAGAUCUGGAGGAAUACCGGUGGCGAAGGCGGCCCCCUGGACAAAGGCUGACGCUCACGUGCGAAAGCGUGGGGAGCAAACAGGAUUAGAUACCCCGGUAGUCCCUGUCUCUUAUAC
rnacentral:rRNA from 1 species